AUUGAACGCUGGCGGCAGGCCUAACACAUGCAAGUCGAGCGGAUGCAGGGAGCUUGCUCCUGGAUUCAGCGGCGGACGGGUGAGUAAUGCCUAGGAAUCUGCCUGGUCGUGGGGGAUAACGUCCGGAAACGGGCGCUAAUACCGCAUACGUCCUGAUGUCGCAAUUGGGGGAUCUUCGGACCUCACGCUAUCAGAUGAGCCUAGGUCGGAUUAGCUAGUUGGUGGGGUAACGGCCUACCAAGGCGACGAUCCGUAACUGGUCUGAGAGGAUGAUCAGUCACACUGGAACUGAGAAACGGUCCAGACUCCUACGGGAGGAAGCAGUGGGGAAUAUUGGACAAUGGGCGAAAGCGUGAUCCAGCAAAGCCGCGUGUGUGAAGAAGGUCUUAGGAUGGGAAAGCAAUUUAAGUUGGGAGGAAGGGAAGUAAGUUAAUACCUGGCUGUUUUGACGGUACCAACAGAAUAAGCACCGGCUAACUUCGUG
rnacentral:rRNA from 1 species